rnacentral:rRNA from 1 species
UAAGCCAUGCAUGUCUAAGUAUAAGCACUUGUACUGUGAAACUGCGAAUGGCUCAUUAAAUCAGUUAUCGUUUAUUUGAUUGUACCUUACUACAUGGAUACCUGUGGUAAUUCUAGAGCUAAUACAUGCGAAAAGUCCCAACUUCUGGAAGGGAUGUAUUUAUUAGAUUAAAAACCAAUGCAAGUCUUCGGGCUCGUUUUCUUGGUGAUUCAUGAUAACUUUUCGAAUCGCAUGGCCUAGAGCCGGCGAUACUUCAUUCAAAUUUCUGCCCUAUCAACUGUCGAUGGUAAGGUAGUGGCUUACCAUGGUUAUAACGGGUGACGGAGAAUUAGGGUUCGAUUCCGGAGAGGGAGCCUGAGAAACGGCUACCACAUCUAAGGAAGGCAGCAGGCUCGAAAAUUACCCAAUCCCGACUCGGGGAGGUAGUGACAAGAAAUAACGAUACGGGGUCUUAAUAGGUCUCGCAAUUGGAAUGAGUACAAUUUAAAUCCUUUAACGAGGAUCAAUUGGAGGGCAAGUCUGGUGCCAGCAGCCGCGGUAAUUCCAGCUCCAAUAGCGUAUAUUAAAGUUGUUGCAGUUAAAAAGCUCGUAGUUGGAUUUCGGAGUGGGCCAGUUGGUCCGCCGCAAGGUGUGUUACUGACUGGUUUGCUCUUCUUCGCAAAGACUGCGUGUGCUCUUGAGUGAGUGUGCGUAGAAUUUACGACGUUUACUUUGAAAAAAUUAGAGUGUUCAAAGCAGGCUAUUGCUUGAAUACAUGAGCAUGGAAUAAUGGAAUAGGACUUUGGUCCCAUUUUGUUGGUUUCUAGGGCCGAAGUAAUGAUUAAGAGGGACAAUUGGGGGCAUCCGUAUUUCGUUGUCAGAGGUGAAAUUCUUGGAUUUACGAAAGACGAACAACUGCGAAAGCACUUGCCAAGAGUGUUUUCAUUAAUCAAGAACGAAAGUUAGAGGAUCGAAGACGAUCAGAUACCGUCCUAGUUCUAACCAUAAACGAUGUCGACUAGGGAUCAGCG